rnacentral:rRNA from 1 species
GGAGGCAGCAGUGGGGAAUAUUGCACAAUGGGCGAAAGCCUGAUGCAGCCAUGCCGCGUGUGUGAAGAAGGCCUUCGGGUUGUAAAGCACUUUCAGUCGUGAGGAAGGGGUAGUAAUUAAUACUUACUAUCUUUGACGUUAGCGACAGAAGAAGGACCGGCUAACUCCGUGCCAGCAGCCGCGGUAAUACGGAGGGUCCGAGCGUUAAUCGGAAUUACUGGGCGUAAAGCGUACGCAGGCGGCUUGUUAAGCCAGAUGUGAAAUCCCCGGGCUCAACCUGGGAAUGGCAUUUGGAACUGGCAAGCUAGAGUUUUGUAGAGGGUGGUAGAAUUUCAGGUGUAGCGGUGAAAUGCGUAGAGAUCUGAAGGAAUACCAGUGGCGAAGGCGGCCACCUGGACAAAAACUGACGCUCAUGUACGAAAGCGUGGGGAGCAAACAGGAUUAGAUACCCUGGUAGUCCACGCCGUAAACGAUGUCUACUAGUUGUCUGUGAGUUUAACUCGUGGGUAACGCAGCUAACGCAUUAAGUAGACCGCCUGGGGAGUACGGCCGCAAGGUUAAAACUCAAAUGAAUUGACGGGGGCCCGCACAAGCGGUGGAGCAUGUGGUUUAAUUCGAUGCAACGCGAAGAACCUUACCUGCCCUUGACAUACUGAGA